UACGUAGGUGGCAAGCGUUGUCCGGAAUUAUUGGGCGUAAAGCGCGUGUAGGCGGUCCGGUAAGUCGGCUGUGAAAGUCCAGGGCUCAACCCUGGGAUGCCGGUCGAUACUGCCGGACUAGAGUUCGGAAGAGGCGAGUGGAAUUCCCCGGUGUAGCGGUGAAAUGCGCAGAUAUCGGGAGGAACACCAAUGGCGAAGGCAGCUCGCUGGGACGUUACUGACGCUGAGACGCGAAAGCGUGGGGAGCAAACAGG
rnacentral:rRNA from 1 species